rnacentral:rRNA from 1 species
AUCCUACGGGGGGCAGCAGUGGGGAAUAUUGCGCAAUGGGCGAAAGCCUGACGCAGCGACGCCGCGUGAGGGAUGAAGGUCUUCGGAUCGUAAACCUCUGUCAGCAGGGAAGAACGGUCACUGUGCUAAUCAGCAGUGAAUUGACGGUACCUGCAAAGGAAGCACCGGCUAACUCCGUGCCAGCAGCCGCGGUAAUACGGAGGGUGCGAGCGUUAAUCGGAAUUAUUGGGUUUAAAGGGUGCGUAGGCGGAUUUUUAAGUCAGCGGUAAAAUGUCCGGGCUCAACCCGGGCCGGCCGUUGAAACU